AUGGGUGAGCUCUGGACCGAGGCGGCGUCCGCCCGGUGUGAUCUCAGAAGCAGCUUCGUGCCUGCGUCCCGAGGAGCCUGGGGAGCCGGGUCCCUCUCCCAGGCCCCUUCUCUGUGCGCGCUGCAGCGUCAGACCCGCGGCCGCUCAGUCCCCUUUGCCUGCUUCGGAAGCAGCAAAUCUCUGGAUCGCGGCCCUAGACGCUCCUGGGAACGUAGAGUCCAGGGCCAAAACGCGCAGAUUGGGAAGAAAAGGAAAGCAGAGCGGCUCCCCGCGGCCGCGGGGGCGUGGGAUGGCUGCGCCUCGGGCCGCAUUCCCGGAGGGCGCGCAGGCCUCUCCCUCCUCCUUUCUCUCCCCCUCCCCCUCAAUGUCUCCUUUCCCUUUAUUUGUCUCUAUUUGCCCCGUCUCUCUUUCUCUUUCAUCUUUGCAUCUCCACCUCCAUCUCCCUUCCUGCUCCCCAGCGUUCCUGGGGAGCUCCUAGCCCCGCAUCGCGGCCGGCUAGUUGUGGCCGGACUUUGGCCGAGAGAGCGCCGUCCGCUUCCCUCCGGGGCCGAGGUCCCCACACCCCCGGCCCGCCAGUGCGCCCCAGGCUCGGCUUGGCACAGCACCCCGCGCGCCCUGGGGAGAGCGGCCCAGAGAGCGGCGGGCUGCAGGGUCCCCCGUGGUGGCUCGUUCCCCGGGGGCAGGGUAGGCGGCGGGGGUGGGGUCGACAGUGGCCUUGGGCGCACCCCCCGUCGUCCCCGCGGCAGGUGGCGGGGCGUGCGCUGGGACUGUUCGCCCGAGCCGGGUCGGACGCGGCGGCGGGCAGUGGAGGCCCGGGCCCUCGGGCGAUGCCGGCCCCCAAGUCUGCGGCCCCGGCCCCCAAGUCCCCACUCCCCCAGCGCCGCGCCGCCGCGUCCAGGGCUCUCCCUGCGGGAACCCGGACACCCCGGCUUCCCUGUCCUUUCCUCGCAUUUUCUAUCGAUCAGUGUAACUCCUGUGAUGCCUUUGGAAUGUUUCCUUUUCAUUUCCCUCCGCGUGAUUUUGUCUGUUGCCACGUUCUGUUCCUUUCACGUGCAUUUAUUUUGUUCCUCUUUUUCUUAUGCUUCCGAAUCUCUUUUCUUUGCUCACUUCUAG
rnacentral:lncRNA from 1 species